AUGAUGAUUUUCAGCCACAAGGAACCAAUCAGAAGUGAGAGGCAGGCUCUGCAGCUUUGCCUCCACGUGACUGCUGUGCUAUAAGUAGCUUCUCCCGUUGAGAUGAAGCACGUUUUGCGUGAGAAGAUGAGAUGUUAUUAUUUAACUUGAUGCUUUGCCAACUUGGCAAAGGUUAAGGGCACAACAUGUAUGGGCACUCCUGAUCCACUUGUAGGUCAAUCUGUGCAUAUCCUCCAAGGUAUUGGGAUAUGAAUUUAAACUAGAAUGACUCUCCAAUUCUGGCUUAUUAUAGUCCUCUAUCGUUUAUUACAGUGCUUAAUGUGUAGUUUAACAUGAGCUUUUUGGGUAGAUAGGACAAGCCAUGCGUUCUGGAUUUUCAUCAAGGUUAUUAAACAUGACAUCAACUAAACCUGAAUAGCUAUUGAUUCUUUUCAUGAGCAUUUAGCUUCAUCUAUAGAAACAUAUAAAUUGAGACAUUACUAUGUUUCAAAGCUCAUGGAAAUGCAUGUACCAUUUAUUCACUAGAAUAAGAACAGUCUCUGUGUAAAUGGAACCUAAAUAGGUCCAUCUCUGUUAAAGCCUGGUAUAAAUAAGCCCAUCGGGGAAAAGCACAGUAUAAGAUUAUACUGCAGCAGCAUUUCCUUUUAAUGUCAUUUUUGGUGACACACAUCUUGGAUAGAUAUAGAAAAUUGAUGUCAAGCACCUGAAUCUGCCCUAGCUAGCAAAAUGAAAAGACAUUCCUUCCUUGAAUUUAAGAAGAGAUAGCAUCCAGACUGGGGGGGUAGGGGGAACUCUCAACGAUCCCAUUUUGUGUGGUUUCCUGCCCACCAUUAAAUCCUAUCCUCAAAUGGAAUUAUUAAGGUUUAAAAUACAUAAUUUGAGGGAAGUGGAAAAGCUAUUUAGUGUGUUGUCUCCCAAAGGCAUUAAAAAUAUCCCCUUUGUAAGGCAUCUUGGAGGAGCAUGCAAAUUACAAGGCUGCUGAGCGCCACUAUUGAGAAAUACUGUGCUGGGUCUUCAUGUGAUGUUUAAGACAAUUACUGGAGGUAACUACUACCCACAUUUCUUUCAGAAUCAUUUCUGAAGAACAGCUAAAAAUACUGUUAACUAUAAGAGACUCAAUCUGUCAAAAUGUAUUAAAGUGACACACUGCUAACGCUAGUUCAACCUAAAAAUCCAUAUUCUGUAAUGAAAUGCUUUAUAUAAACUCAGCAAAGCUGGGAGCUCACAGCUCUUUCCUAAAUUAGCCAGUGUUUGAGACCUAGGCUAGUGUGGUAUAGAAAUGCUAAUUUGACUCCUGUGGUGGCAUACUAAUGGCCCCUUAAUAUUUAUCCAUAGAUAUAUUUGCUUUUAUGGAUAGUCUAAAGAACUUGGAAAUUACUUUUCUCCAAAAGAGAUAAAGAAUUUAGAAAAGCCAAGUGUGGAUGAAAAGGGGGGACAUUUCUGCCUCUUGCCUAUCUCCUGAUGUAUUCCCCUACCUGGUACAAAAUGGUCACUGGUAAACAUGUACACCGCACCCACUGAACACACACCCAGGCACAGGCACAGGCACAGGCACAUGUGUGUGCGAGCACACACACACACACAGGAACCUGUGAUCUUCUCACUGAGGUUCGUGCUUCUCCUCUGUCAUAAAACACUACCAUGCCUCGUGCCUGUUUCCUGAUCCCCACGUUCAGAAUACUCACCUCAGUUAAGUGGAAAGUAAUGGAUUAUGUUGAUAUCUGACUAGGACCAGAUGAACAUGUCCACAAUAAUUUCAACCCUCUUGAAACUUGAUAAUGUGGCAACACCAGGUGUACAGAGGUCAAAUUGAGGGAUGGGUAAAAGCUGGCAUAUUUGCUAGAUGAUUUAUUUAUUGGUCGACUUCACAGACAUUACCUGAUUAAGCCAUUAGCGUCCCAUCCAGUCCCUCUGCUGCUGACUGCUCAUACAGCUGAGGAACGUUACAGGUAGGAUUUUCUCCUUGCCUCACAGGAAUGACUAAAGGAAAAGGGGAUUUCCUCGGCCUCUGAAUUUCAUAACUCACGGAUCUUAAUGUUUGUGCUGGUUAGCGUUGAGGAGUUUUGUUAUGUUUUUUGUAAUUUUUUUUUUUUUUACUUUUUUUUUGUCACCUUGACACUACAGUCACUGGGAAAGGGGACCAACUUCAAUUGGAGGGUUACCUCAAUCAGAAUGCCCUGUGGAAUUACAUACCUGUGGGCGUUUUCUUGAUUAAUGAUUGACAUGAGGACCUAGGGAGCUCAGAGCAGUGCAAAGGCUGGGCAGGUAGUCCUGGGUGUAUAAGAAAGUAGGCUGAGAGAGCCAUCAAAAACAAGCUAGUCAGCAGCGUUCUUGGUGGUCUCUGCUUCAGUUCCCACCUGAAGCUCCUGCCCUGGCUUUCCUGGAUGACAGACUGUGACAGAAAUGUAAGCCAAACAAGCUGUUCUUCUCUGAAGUUGCUUUGGGUCACAGUACUCAUCACAGCCCUGGAAAGCCAAGCAGGACAUCGGUCUCAGAACAGAGAUGCCCUCCUUAGAAGCAGAGGAACAAAGCUCAUCUAGAAAAUGCUGCUUGAAGACUACUUGGACCCAUCAGCUGACUUUCCAAAGUCCAUCUCGGCUGUAUCCUCCCUUUUUGCUGGCUUGAGAUCUCCUUUGUGAAGUAGAAAACAGUCUCAAGAUUCCGUUAAUGAUUGUACUCUGGAGGAAAUGUUUCUGAUCUUCACUUCCAGUACCUCUGAUUGUCUGGCUGAUAUCUGAGACCCUGCUAUAGCUGGAAGGAAAAAUAUACAAGAUGUCUGUCUGGAUCCCAGUGUAUCUACUAGGUCCACUGUGAGCUGAACCUCCUAUGUUUCUUUCAUUGCUCUUUUGAUUGUUUCUUGUGUAAAUCUCAUACUUCCCAGUUCCUCUGGCUUUGCCUAUCCUCUUCUUAAAGACUUAACAGAUACUAGAUUCCUCAUUAUUCGCCCAUUGGUUCAUGAGCCCCCAUGUUACAACUGUACAGAGUCAAAUGUUCAGUUCUAACCACCAAUUGAGACACUGAGUAGUCCCAAAAUAUAAUGCAUAAGCGUCACCUGGAUUGCUUGUCAAUGACAGAGAAUUUGUAGCAACUGCCUGCCUCUCACAAAUCGUAUUUCACAUCCCCAGCAAAAACCAGAACUGAUAGUUCUGCAAAGACCCAGAAUGCAUUGCUAAAAAGUCUACCAGGUGAUCCUAACACAAGUGAUGCCAGGACCCCUUUAAGAAAGUCUCUAAGAAGAUUUUGCUUCUAGAUUUCUGAAGUUAGAAAAGGAAAUAUUUUUUUCCUUCUAAACAAGUUUUUUUUUCCCCCUUUGCUUUCCUAGAAAUUUCAUUCCAAAAACAUUAGAAUACAAACAUUUUUAUCUACUCCUUUCCUGGCUGCGAUAGAAGUACUUAGGAGUGAAAUAGCUUAAUGUGAGUAAAUAAAAUUGCUAUUAAUCACAUUUGGAGAAAAUGUAGGACUCCCAGGAACAUGCUGUAAUUUGCAUCACUUUUGUACAGCCCAUGCCAUCUCUGUGGUUAACAAAAACAAUUGUUUAUGAAAAGGGCAGAUUUAAGAUGAAAAUGCCGCUUCUGCAAAAGGCAGGAAACUGUCGGCGUGUAAGGGCUGUGCUCGCCCAACUGGAGAAUCCUGUGUUUGU
rnacentral:lncRNA from 1 species